rnacentral:rRNA from 1 species
UGGGGAAUAUUGGACAAUGGGGGCAACCCUGAUCCAGCAACGCCGCGUGGGGGAUGAAGGUCUUCGGAUUGUAAACCCCUGUUGAGAGGGACGAAGGUUCACGGGCAAACAGUUCGUGAACUUGACGGUACCUCGAGAGGAAGCCCCGGCUAACUCUGUGCCAGCAGCCGCGGUAAUACAGAGGGGGCAAGCGUUAUUCGGAAUUAUUGGGCGUAAAGGGCGCGUAGGCGGCUGCGCAAGUCUCGGGUGAAAUCCCUCGGCUCAACCGAGGAACUGCCCUGGAAACUGCGCGGCUCGAGGCCGGGAGAGGAUGGUGGAAUUCCCAGUGUAGCGGUGAAAUGCGUAGAUAUUGGGAGGAACACCGGUGGCGAAGGCGGCCAUCUGGACCGGUCCUGACGCUGAGGCGCGAAAGCGUGGGGAGCAAACAGG